CUGCUGCAUCAAGUGGCCUCCAGGCCUAAACUUCUGUCCCCUCCCUGGAAAAUUCUCAGGCACGGUUGAGCUCUCUCUUCAUUCCUCGGUUUCCCAGUCCACAACAAGGAAUGACCGCUGACUCAGAGCAAACUCCUUCAAGAAGAAUACAGAGACUAUGAAAAGAAGCCACCUCCAGCUGUCUGACUUUCCCUCUGCUCAUCAAAAUGGAUCUCGCUUGACAUAAACUGAGGCACAGAGGACUCAAGCAAAGCCCAUUUCAGUUUAAUAUAGGAAAGCAGGCUGGGAGGAAUUCUCUUAGGAAUAAAAAGACAAAAUAAAAAAUCACACACAGAGAAACAAAAAC